GUAUUGGUGGUUCAGUAGUAAAAUUCUCACCUUUCAUGUGAGAGACCGGGGUUAAAUUCUCAGCCAAUGGC
rnacentral:tRNA from 1 species